AUGAGUUAGGGUCUCCUAGGCCCGACCUCCCAACCCUCUGUCUACAAAACCUCUGUUGCUUUGGCGAACCCGUCUCACACGUGGGACCGCCAGAGGAUCGUCUAACUGGCGUCCUCCGGCCCGUGUUCGCCGAUAGCCCAAACCCCCAACUCUUGGAAUAAUCAUGAUAUAUUGUCUAAGUGAAUUUACUCAAUUAAAAGCAA
rnacentral:misc_RNA from 1 species